AACUGGUGUAUGUAUAGUCCUA
rnacentral:siRNA from 1 species